rnacentral:rRNA from 1 species
CCUACGGGGUGCAGCAGUGAGGAAUAUUGGUCAAUGGGAGAGAUCCUGAACCAGCCAAGCCGCGUGAGGGAAGACGGCCCUAUGGGUUGUAAACCUCUUUUGUCGGAGAACAAAACCCGGGACGUGUCCCGGACUGCGUUUAUCCGAAGAAAAAGCAACGGCUAACUCCGUUCCAGCAGCCGCGGUCAUACGGAGGAGGCGAGCGUUAUCCGGAUUUAUUGGGUUUAAAGGGUGCGUAUGCGGUCCGUUAAGGAAGCGGAAAAAUUGCGGGGCUCAACCCCGUCGAGCCGGUGAAACUGGCAGAGUUGAGUGGGCAAGACGUACGUGGAAUGCGGGUGGGAGCGGUGAAAUGAAUGGAUAUCGCGAAGAGCUCGGAUUGCGAGGGAAGCGUCGGGGCGCCAGACUGA